GAUUUCUGACAUGGCGUACCUAGCCCGGUACGUUGCGUAUCGAGUGCUGGGUCUUCGUCUGUCAUCCCUUGUAGUGCCGUCGGGCUACCCUUCACGGGGCUGGCAUCGUUCGGUCUACAUCUUUUACUUUGAAAAAAUUAGAGUGUUUCAAGCAGGCUUUAUGCUAUGAAUACAUUAGCAUGGAAUAAUAAUUUAGGACUUCGGUUCUAUUUUGUUGGUUUCUAGGACUGAAGUAAUGAUUGAUAGGGAUAGUUGGGGGUGCUAGUAUUCAGCGGCCAGAGGUGAAAUUCUCGGAUUCGCUGAAGACUAACUUAUGCGAAAGCAUU
rnacentral:rRNA from 1 species